GACGAACGCUGGCGGCGUGCUUAACACAUGCAAGUCGAACGGAGAUUACAGUAAUGUAAUCUUAGUGGCGGACGGGUGAGUAACGCGUGGGCAACUUGCCUCAAACUGGGGGAUAACACAGGGAAACUUGUGCUAAUACCGCAUAAUAUCAUGAGAGGGCAUCCUCUAGUGAUCAAAGGAGUAAUCCGGUAUGAGAUGGGCCCGCGUCCGAUUAGCUAGUUGGUGGUGUAAUGGACCACCAAGGCGACGAUCGGUAGCCGAACUGAGAGGUUGAUCGGCCACAUUGGGACUGAGACACGGCCCAGACUCCUACGGGAGGCAG
rnacentral:rRNA from 1 species